rnacentral:rRNA from 1 species
GAUGAACGCUAGCGGCAGGCCUAAUACAUGCAAGUCGAACGAGAUUAGUAGCAAUACUAUGAAAGUGGCGCACGGGUGCGUAACACGUAUGCAAUCUACCUUUAAUUGGAGAAUAGCCUCGAGAAAUCGGGAUUAAUACUCCAUAACAUUAUGAAGUGGCAUCACUUUAUAAUUAAACCUCCGGGGAUUAAAGAUGAGCAUGCGCAACAUUAGCUAGUUGGUAAGGUAAUGGCUUACCAAGGCUACGAUGUUUAGGGGGUCUGAGAGGAUGAUCCCCCACACUGGUACUGAGACACGGACCAGACUCCUACGGGAGGCAGCAGUAGGGAAUAUUGGGCAAUGGAGGCAACUCUGACCCAACACUGCGCCGUGCAGAGUGACGGCCCGUCCUGGUUGGUAAACUAG